rnacentral:tRNA from 1 species
GCCCCCGUGGCGGAAUCGGUAGACGCAGUCGACUUAAAAUCGAUCGCCAAGGCGUGCGGGUUCGAGUCCCGCCGGGGGCA